GAAGACCGAAGUCAAGCAUCAUUGGGCGCGGUCAGUACUUGGGUGGGUGACCACCUGGGAACACCGCGUGCCGUU